ensembl:lncRNA
AGCCAAGACAGCUGCCAUGUCCUGCCUACCCUCUGCUGUGCAUUGUGGGGUAUUGCUCCAGGACCUUGCUUCAAACAUAUCUCAGGCUGAGAAACCUGUUGUUGCUUACAGCAAUGUCUCAUCAUCUCCGCAAUAACUCAGCAACUCUGUGCACGAUGAGGUACUAUGACCUUUUUUUUUUUUUAAUCUGCUCACAUGUUGGGAUAUAAGAUUGUUUUUCUGUAGAAAGAUUGCAUUAUUCCAGAUCAAGCCCUCAAGAGCUUUUGAAAUACCAUUGUCAAUACCUGGGUGAAGUAAAAGGAUGGCAACAAGCUCAAGAUCACUUGGAUGACCCAAGGAACAUCCUAUUCAAUAUGUCCAACUCAUCAUCUCUGAUACCUACUGCAGCUCCACAUUGGUUUUCCUUUUUGAAAUUUAUUCUGCAAUAAAAUGAUACAUGGAGCUGCCAGUCAGUUGCCCACGACAGAUUCCUGGACACUGUUCCUAACUCUGGAUUUUCCCUUUUCUGCUAUUAACACUGAUAUAUUACUAUGUCUCUGGAAUCUACUCACCUCACUCUACUCUCAAUGACACUUUACUACUUGCAGCUGUUAUCGUUUCUUUCAUAUACUGCGUUAAUAUCUACUAACUACAGUAUGGUAUUCCUCUGUGAUAGACCCUGAUCUCCUAUCAUGUACCCCAUUAGAGCCAAGGAAAUGUUCAAGAUAAAAUCUGAUGAUGAAGAUCCUCUGCUUAAAAGCCUACCACAGAGCCCCUACUGUGCUUAGAAUAGCAUCCAAACCCAUUUAUGAUGUUUACAAGGUCCUUUGUAAUCUACUAUCUAUUCACUUCUCAUCUUCUCUCUUCACCAGUUUCCCCUAAGUGUGCUUACAAUUUAGUUCCUGGAACACAUUUUGCUCUCUCCUUUCCACAUGUGAACCCCUGGCUGCUCCAGCUUCACCCCCACCCAAUAGGGGUGCUGGAAUACCCCUCCUCGUCUUUCAGAUCUUAGACCCCAUGUCACUCUCACACUCUGUGUAUUCCCAAUAAAGUACUUC